CGGGUCCAUCAGAGCCACCCACUCAGCCAUUUUCUCAUGGAUCUGCCGAGCCAGCAGUGUCUUCCCAUAUGACUACCGAGCCACAGGAUUCGGCGCCAGUGGGUCCACAGGAGCUGCCCAUUCCGGAGCAUUCUCAUCAGCCUGCCGAGGCAGAGGUGUCUUCUCAUGAGACUACCGAGGCGCAUGUAAGUUUUUUACUUAAACUAAUUUUAUUCAAUAUAAGGUAAAUGUUUAUUUAAUUUUUAUAACCUUUACUUGGACUUCGAACAGCAUCUCGUCCAGGAGACUACCUCAUAUUCACUAUCACACCCAUCUCAGGAGGCUACAGACCCAUCUCGGGAGCCUUCUCAGGCGCCCGUUGACACACAGGUUCAUCCUUCGGCGCCUGCGGUGGCGACUCCCGACGAGGAAGAGGUCCAGUUUCCAGACCCAGCUCAGCCUGAGGUUCUGAGCAUGCCAGCGGGACAAGAUCCCAAGAAGAAGCACGUUCUAGUUAAGGGCGCAAGGGCUAGGGGAAGAGAAGAUGAUCAUGACUUGGAGCGCCCGGUUAUUAAGAGGAAAAAGGGCGACGGAGACGAUGGCGAGGGCGGUGGGGAUGGUAUGAGCCUUAGGCCUAGGGAUAGUCUCCGGCAUACUACAUGUGGGACCCAUCCUCGAUAGUGUAUAUACAUUAGUGUUGUACAAUUUAUCGUAAAUAUUAUACA